GGAUGUGACCAUACCAGCACUAAAGCACCGGAUCCCAUCAGAACUCCGAAGUUAAGCGUGCUUGGGAGAGAGAAGUACUAGGAUGGGUGACCUCCUGGGAAGUCCUCGUGUUGCAUUCC
rfam:Triticum aestivum genome assembly, contig: Triticum_aestivum_CS42_TGACv1_scaffold_080249_1DS